rnacentral:rRNA from 1 species
UACGUAGGGUGCAAGCGUUAAUCGGAAUUACUGGGCGUAAAGCGUGCGUAGGUGGUUUGUUAAGUCUGUUGUGAAAGCCCCGGGCUCAGCCUGGGAAUGGCAAUGGAUACUGGCAAGCUAGAGUGCGGUAGAGGGUAGUGGAAUUCCCGGUGUAGCGGUGAAAUGCGUAGAGAUCGGGCGGAACACCAGCGGCGAAGGCGGCGACCUGGCCCUGACCUGACGCUGAGGCGCGAGAGCGUGGGGAGCGAACGGG